UACGGGGGGGGCAAGCGUUGUUCGGGAUUACUGGGCGUAAAGGGCUCGUAGGCGGCCAACUAAGUCAGACGUGAAAUCCCUCGGCUUAACCGGGGAACUGCGUCUGAUACUGGUUGGCUUGAAUCCGGGAGAGGGAUGUGGAAUUCCAGGUGUAGCGGUGAAAUGCGUAGAUAUCUGGAGGAACACCGGUGGCGAAGGCGGCAUCCUGGACCGGUAUUGACACUGAGGCGCGAAAGCCAGGGGAGCAAACGGG
rnacentral:rRNA from 1 species